AUCGGAGUUGCGAUGUGCACGAGGAGAAUGUUGGGGCCGCUUGUUGGUCGGGAGUUGCAUGAACUCGGAGGCUGCAGACUCGACGAUGGGGUCACAACCGUUGAAGGCGGGGUCGGCCUUGGUGACCUCGCAGAGGUAAGUCCGACCAUGACAAGCUCGCAAAAAGGAGGACGGCUGCGGCGAGCCCACAUGGGCGAGAUCAAUCACGACGAGCUUGCAGGGUUGAGGUCGGUCGCGGCCAGCUAAUGGAAGUGAAGCUGGAGCUGCCCACAAGCGACCUUGGGGCUGUCGGAGAUGAGAUGCACAUGCGAAGGAAAGUCUGGUGCCUCUCGCUAGUGACCUUGGCGG
rnacentral:lncRNA from 1 species